rnacentral:rRNA from 1 species
UACGAAGGGGGCUAGCGUUGUUCGGAAUUACUGGGCGUAAAGGGCGCGUAGGCGGUGUGUCAAGUCAGGCGUGAAAGCCCCGGGCUCAACCUGGGAACCGCGCUUGAGACUGGCACGCUAGAGUUCGGGAGAGGAUGGUGGAAUUCCCAGUGUAGAGGUGAAAUUCGUAGAUAUUGGGAAGAACACCGAUGGCGAAGGCAGCCAUCUGGACCGACACUGACGCUGAGGCGCGAAAGCGUGGGGAGCAACAGG